rnacentral:rRNA from 1 species
GAUGAACGCUGGCGGCGCGCCUAACACAUGCAAGUCGAACGGUUAAAGCACCUUCGGGUGUGUAUAAAGUGGCGAACGGCUGAGUAACACGUGGGCAACCUGCCUCUUGCUCUGGGAUAGCCUCGGGAAACCGAGGAUAAUACCGGAUACUCCGUACCUUUCGCAUGGAGGGGACGGGAAAGCGCAUACGGCAAGAGAUGGGCCCGCGGCCUGUUAGCUUGUUGGUGGGGUAACGGCCUACCAAGGCAAUGAUGGGUAGCUGGGUUGAGAGACCGACCAGCCAGAUUGGGACUGAGACACGGCCCAGACUCCUACGGGAGGCAGCAGUGGGGAAUCUUGCACAAUGGGCGAAAGCCUGAUGCAGCGACGCCGCGUGCGGGAUGAAGGCCCUAUGGGUUGUAAACCGCUUUCAGCAGGGAAGAGGCCGCAAGGUGACGGUACCUGCAGAAGAAGCUCCGGCUAACUACGUG